rnacentral:rRNA from 1 species
UGGGGAAUAUUGGACAAUGGAGGCAACUCUGAUCCAGCAAUUCUGUGUGUGUGAAGAAGGUUUUAGGACUGUAAAACACUUUUAGUAGGGAAGAAAGAAAUGACGGUACCUACAGAAGAAGCGACGGCUAAAUACGUGCCAGCAGCCGCGGUAAUACGUAUGUCGCGAGCGUUAUCCGGAAUUAUUGGGCUUAAAGGGCAUCUAGGCGGUUAAACAAGUUGAAGGUGAAAACCUGUGGCUCAACCAUAGGCUUGCCUACAAAACUGUAUAACUAGAGUACUGGAAAGGUGGGUGGAACUACACGAGUAGAGGUGAAAUUCGUAGAUAUGUGUAGGAAUGCCGAUGAUGAAGAUAACUCACUGGACGGCAACUGACGCUGAAGUGCGAAAGCUAGGGGAGCAAACAGG